UGGGGAAUAUUGGGCAAUGGACGCAAGUCUGACCCAGCAACGCCGCGUGAAGGAAGAAGGCUUUCGGGUUGUAAACUUCUUUUAAGGGGGAAGAGUAGAAGACGGUACCCCUAGAAUAAGCCACGGCUAACUACGUGCCAGCAGCCGCGGUAAUACGUAGGUGGCAAGCGUUGUCCGGAUUUACUGGGUGUAAAGGGCGUGCAGCCGGGAGUGCAAGUCAGAUGUGAAAUGCAUGGGCUCAACCCAUGAACUGCAUUUGAAACUGUGCUUCUUGAGUACUGGAGAGGCAAUCGGAAUUCCUAGUGUAGCGGUGAAAUGCGUAGAUAUUAGGAGGAACACCAGUGGCGAAGGCGGAUUGCUGGACAGCAACUGACGGUGAGGCGCGAAAGUGUGGGGAGCAAACAGG
rnacentral:rRNA from 1 species